AUUUGUUCAAGUUUCAUUCUACCUCCUACCAUAUCAACCAUAACCAUACUAAACUUUUUUCUUCUAAUAAUGGCUGCGGCAACACGUUCUCGUGCAUCAAUCUACGAUGUUUUCCUCAGCUUCAGAGGGGAAGACACACGCUAUGGUUUUACUGGCAAUCUCUACAAGGCUCUUUGUGACAAGGGAAUUCAUACCUUCUUUGACGAAGACAAGCUUCACAGUGGAGAGGAAAUAACACCAGCACUUUUGAAGGCAAUUCAAGAUUCCAGGAUUGCCAUCACUGUGCUCUCUGAAGACUUUGCUUCUUCCUCAUUUUGCUUGGAUGAACUUGCAACCAUCCUUUUCUGCGCCCAGUAUAAUGGGAUGAUGGUUAUACCGGUCUUUUAUAAGGUCUAUCCUUGUGAUGUCAGACACCAGAAAGGUACUUAUGGAGAAGCAUUGGCUAAGCAUAAGAAAAGAUUUCCAGACAAGUUGCAGAAAUGGGAGAGGGCUCUGCGUCAAGUAGCCAACUUGUCUGGCCUUCAUUUCAAAGAUAGAGAUGAAUAUGAAUACAAGUUUAUUGGGAGAAUUGUUGCAUCGGUCUCUGAGAAGAUUAACCCUGCUAGUUUACAUGUUGCGGAUCUGCCUGUUGGACUAGAGUCAAAAGUACAAGAAGUAAGGAAGCUUUUGGAUGUUGGAAACCAUGAUGGUGUCUGCAUGAUAGGGAUCCACGGAAUGGGUGGGAUAGGAAAAUCAACUCUUGCUCGAGCUGUCUAUAAUGAUUUAAUAAUUACUGAGAAUUUUGAUGGUUUGUGUUUUCUUGAAAACGUGAGAGAAAGUUCAAACAAUCAUGGGUUACAACACCUCCAAAGCAUUCUUCUUUCAGAAAUACUUGGAGAGGACAUCAAAGUAAGAAGUAAGCAACAAGGAAUUUCAAAGAUCCAGUCUAUGCUUAAGGGGAAGAAGGUUCUCUUGAUUCUGGACGAUGUUGACAAGCCCCAGCAAUUACAGACAAUUGCUGGACGACGUGAUUGGUUUGGUCCUGGCAGCAUAAUCAUCAUCACCACUCGGGACAAACAACUGCUAGCACCUCAUGGGGUUAAAAAAAGAUAUGAGGUGGAGGUUUUGAAUCAGAAUGCUGCUCUACAAUUGCUUACAUGGAAUGCUUUCAAAAGAGAAAAAAUUGAUCCAAGUUAUGAGGACGUUUUGAAUCGUGUAGUAACUUAUGCUUCUGGCCUUCCAUUGGCUUUGGAAGUCAUAGGUUCCAACAUGUUUGGAAAAAGGGUAGCAGAAUGGAAAUCUGCUGUGGAACAUUAUAAAAGAAUUCCCAAUGAUGAAAUCCUAGAAAUUCUAAAAGUAAGCUUUGAUGCUUUGGGGGAAGAACAAAAGAAUGUUUUCCUUGACAUUGCUUGUUGCUUCAAAGGAUGCAAAUUGACAGAGGUUGAACAUAUGCUACGUGGUCUUUACAAUAACUGCAUGAAACAUCAUAUUGAUGUGUUGGUUGACAAAUCUCUCAUAAAGGUUAGGCAUGGUACAGUAAAUAUGCAUGACCUAAUUCAGGUUGUGGGUAGAGAAAUUGAGCGGCAGAUAUCACCUGAAGAGCCAGGGAAGUGCAAGAGAUUAUGGUUACCAAAAGAUAUAAUUCAAGUUUUAAAACACAACACGGGAACUAGUAAGAUUGAAAUCAUAUGUCUGGAUUUCUCCAUAUCUGACAAAGAACAGACAGUGGAAUGGAACCAAAACGCCUUCAUGAAGAUGGAAAACCUUAAAAUCCUUAUUAUUAGAAAUGGCAAAUUUUCCAAAGGUCCCAAUUAUUUUCCAGAAGGUUUGAGAGUACUGGAAUGGCACAGAUAUCCUUCAAAGUGUUUACCAUCUAACUUUCAUCCGAACAACCUUCUUAUAUGCAAGUUACCUGACAGUUCCAUGGCGUCAUUUGAGUUUCAUGGCUCAUCGAAGAAGUUCGGGCAUCUAACAGUUUUGAAGUUUGACAAGUGCAAAUUUUUAACACAGAUACCUGAUGUAUCUGAUCUCCCAAAUUUGAGGGAACUUUCAUUUAAAGGGUGUGAGAGUUUAGUUGCAGUUGAUGACUCAAUUGGUUUUCUGAAUAAACUUAAAAAAUUGAAUGCUUAUGGUUGCAGGAAGCUUACAAGUUUUCCUCCUCUCAACUUGACCUCUCUUGAAACACUUCAACUUUCUGGGUGUUCCAGUCUUGAGUAUUUUCCAGAAAUAUUAGGAGAGAUGGAAAACAUAAAGCAACUUGUUUUGAGAGACCUUCCCAUAAAAGAAUUGCCAUUUUCAUUUCAAAAUCUUAUUGGACUUCAAGUGUUAUACCUGUGGAGCUGUUUAAUUGUUGAGUUACCAUGCAGAUUAGUGAUGAUGCCCGAAUUGUUUCAACUCCAUAUUGAAUAUUGCAACAGGUGGCAAUGGGUAGAAUCGGAAGAAGGUGAAGAAAAAGUGGGCUCAAUACUAUCUUCAAAGGCACGUUGGUUUCGUGCCAUGAAUUGCAAUCUAUGUGAUGAUUUUUUUUUAACAGGUUCCAAGAGGUUUACUCAUGUAGAAUAUUUAGAUCUAUCGGGGAAUAAUUUCACAAUCCUUCCCGAAUUCUUCAAAGAACUGAAAUUUUUAAGAACUCUUGAUGUGAGUGAUUGCGAGCAUCUUCAGAAAAUUAGAGGGCUUCCACCAAACUUAAAAGAUUUCAGGGCAAUAAACUGUGCAUCCUUGACUUCCUCGAGUAAAAGCAUGCUUCUAAAUCAGGAACUGUAUGAGGCUGGAGGAACCAAGUUUAUGUUUCCAGGAACAAGAAUACCAGAGUGGUUCAAUCAGCAAAGCAGUGGACAUUCAAGUUCUUUCUGGUUUCGUAAUAAAUUCCCUGCCAAACUUCUUUGUCUUCUUAUUGCACCUGUGUCGGGUGCCGGGUAUCCUUUCCUUAAACUCGAGGUGUUCAUCAAUAGCAAAUUUCAAGAAUUUUGGCACUACUAUUUAUGGGACGAUAUACAAAGUAUGUUGAAAUUGGAUAUCGAUCAUACAUAUAUCUUUGAUCUCCAUGCGUUCGCUAUAAAAAAUGAUAAUCGGUUUGAAGAAAUGGCUUGGGAAAAAGAAUGGAACCAUGUGGAGGUUAGAUAUCCAGGUGUGUUAGCGUAUGAAAAAAGAAAAAGAGAAAGAGGUUUGUUAGACUUAGAUGGCUCACUCAUUAAAGUAACUGGAUUCCAUAUAUUUAAAGAAGGCAGUAUGGAGGAAGAUAUUCGAUUUGAUGAUCCUUAUCUCGGCAGUUCUGCAUCAGAAAACCCCUCCUUGCUACAAACCAUAGGUUUGGAGACAUGCAAGUUUUCCAUAGCUUUUUUGUUUUUUUUUUUCUUGUUUUUUAUUUUAUUAUUUUGGUUUGAGAGAUGUAAAAAAUGUUUCUACACUCCCACCAUAUCAACCAUUAUCAUACUAAACUGUUUUCUUCUAAUAAUGGCUGCAACAACACGUUCCCUUGCAUCCAUCUACGAUGUGUUCCUCAACUUCAGAGGGGAAGACACGCGCUAUGGUUUUACUGGCAAUCUCUACAAGGCUCUUUGUGACAAGGGAAUUCAUACCUUCUUUGACGAAGACAAGCUUCACAGCGGAGACGACAUAACACCUGCACUUUCCAAGGCAAUUCAAGAGUCCAGGAUUGCUAUUACUGUGCUUUCUCAAAACUAUGCUUCUUCCUCGUUUUGUUUAGAUGAACUUGUAACCAUCCUUCACUGCAAGAGGGAAGGGUUGUUGGUUAUACCGGUCUUUCAUAACGUAGAUCCUUCUGCUGUCAGACACCUGAAAGGUAGUUAUGGAGAAGCAAUGGCUAAGCAUCAGAAGAGGUUCAAAGCUAAGAAGGAGAAGCUGCAGAAAUGGAGGAUGGCUUUGCAUCAAGUAGCUGACUUGUCCGGCUAUCAUUUCAAAGAUGGAGAUGCAUAUGAAUACAAGUUUAUUGGGAAUAUUGUUGAGGAGGUCUCUAGGAAGAUUAAUUGUGCUCCUUUACAUGUUGCGGAUUAUCCAGUUGGUCUAGGGUCACAAGUGAUAGAGGUAAUGAAGCUUUUGGAUGUUGGAUCCGAUGAUCUUGUCCACAUCAUAGGGAUCCAUGGAAUGGGCGGGUUAGGAAAAACAACACUUGCUCUGGCAGUUUAUAAUUUUAUAGCUCUCAAUUUUGAUGAAUCCUGUUUUCUUCAAAACGUGAGAGAAGAAUCAAAUAAACAUGGGUUAAAACACCUUCAAAGCAUCCUUCUUUCAAAAUUACUUGGUGAGAAGGACAUCACCUUAACAAGUUGGCAAGAAGGAGCUUCAAUGAUACAACAUAGGCUCCGACGAAAAAAGGUUCUCUUGAUUUUAGACGAUGUUGACAAGCGCGAGCAAUUAGAGGCUAUUGUUGGAAGAUCUGAUUGGUUUGGUCCGGGUAGCAGAGUCAUCAUUACCACUCGGGACAAACAUCUGCUAAAAUAUCAUGAGGUUGAAAGAACUUAUGAGGUGAAGGUUUUGAAUCACAAUGCUGCUCUUCAAUUGCUUACGUGGAAUGCUUUUAAAAGAGAAAAAAUUGAUCCAAUUUAUGACGACGUCUUGAAUCGUGUAGUAACUUAUGCUUCUGGCCUUCCAUUGGCUUUGGAAGUCAUAGGUUCCGACUUAUUUGGAAAAACUGUAGCAGAAUGGGAAUCUGCAGUGGAACAUUAUAAAAGAAUUCCGAGUGAUGAAAUCCUAAAGAUUCUAAAAGUAAGCUUUGAUGCUUUGGGAGAAGAACAAAAGAAUGUGUUUCUUGACAUUGCUUGUUGCUUCAAAGGGUAUAAAUGGACAGAGGUUGAUGAUAUACUCCGUGCUUUUUAUGGUAACUGCAAGAAGCAUCAUAUUGGGGUGUUGGUUGAAAAAUCUCUCAUAAAGCUUAACUGCUAUGAUAGUGGUACUGUUGAAAUGCACGACCUGAUUCAGGACAUGGGUAGAGAAAUUGAGCGGCAGAGAUCACCAGAAGAGCCUUGGAAGUGCAAGAGAUUAUGGUCACCAAAAGAUAUAUUUCAAGUUUUAAAACACAACACGGGAACUAGUAAAAUUGAAAUCAUAUGCCUGGAUUUCUCCAUAUCUGACAAAGAAGAAACAGUAGAAUGGAAUGAAAACGCCUUCAUGAAGAUGGAAAACCUUAAAAUACUUAUUAUUAGAAAUGGAAAAUUUUCCAAAGGUCCCAAUUAUUUUCCCGAAGGUUUGACAGUACUGGAAUGGCACAGAUAUCCUUCAAAUUGUCUACCAUAUAACUUUCAUCCGAACAACCUUCUUAUAUGCAAGUUACCCGACAGUUCCAUUACGUCAUUUGAGUUGCAUGGCCCAUCCAAGAAGUUUUGGCAUCUAACAGUCUUGAAUUUUGACCAGUGCGAAUUUUUAACACAGAUACCUGAUGUAUCUGAUCUCCCAAAUUUGAAGGAACUUUCAUUUGAUUGGUGUGAGAGUUUAAUUGCAGUUGAUGACUCAAUUGGUUUUCUGAAUAAACUUAAAAAAUUGAGUGCUUAUGGUUGCAGGAAGCUUAGGAGUUUUCCACCUCUCAACUUGACCUCUCUUGAAACACUUCAACUUUCUGGGUGUUCCAGUCUAGAGUAUUUUCCAGAAAUAUUAGGAGAGAUGGAAAACAUAAAGGCACUUGAUUUGGAUGGCCUUCCCAUAAAAGAAUUGCCAUUUUCAUUUCAAAAUCUUAUUGGACUCUGUCGGUUAACCCUGAAUAGUUGUGGAAUUAUUCAGUUACCAUGUAGCUUAGCCAUGAUGCCCGAACUGUCUGUAUUCCGUAUUGAAAAUUGCAACAGGUGGCAUUGGGUAGAAUCGGAAGAAGGUGAAGAAAAAGUAGGCUCAAUGAUAUCUUCAAAGGAACUUUGGUUUAUUGCCAUGAACUGCAAUCUAUGUGAUGAUUUUUUUUUAACAGGUUCCAAGAGGUUUACUCGUGUAGAAUAUUUAGAUCUAUCGGGGAAUAAUUUCACAAUCCUUCCUGAAUUCUUCAAAGAAUUGCAAUUUUUAAGAGCACUUAUGGUGAGUGAUUGCGAGCAUCUUCAGGAAAUUAGAGGGCUUCCUCCAAACUUAGAGUAUUUUGAUGCAAGAAACUGUGCAUCCUUGACUUCCUCGACUAAAAGCAUGCUUUUAAAUCAGAAACUGCAUGAGGCUGGAGGAACCAAUUUUAUGUUUACAGGAACAAGAAUACCAGAGUGGUUGGAUCAGCAAAGCAGUGGACAUUCAAGUUCUUUCUGGUUUCGUAAUAAAUUCCCUGCCAAACUUCUUUGUCUUCUUAUUGCACCUGUGUCUACUGGGAUUGGUGUCAAAGCAAAGGUGUUCAUCAAUGGAAAAAUUCUAAAACGUCCAUUCUAUUAUGGAAGUAAGAAGAUAGAAAGUAUGUUGGAAUUGGACCACACAUAUAUCUUUGAUCUCCAACCGUUUGCUUUCAAAAAUAAUAAUCAGUUUGAAGAAGUGGCUUGGGAAAAGGAAUGGAACCAUGUGGAGGUUAGAUAUCAAAUUGUGUUAACCCAUGUAAAAGAAAAAAGAGAAGAAGGUUCAGUCAUUAAAGCAACUGGAAUCUAUAUAUUCAAAGAAGAAAGCAGUAUGGAGCAAGAUAUUCGAUUUGAUGAUCCUUAUCUUAGCAGCUCUGCAUCAGAAAACUCCUGGUUGCUACAAACCAUAGCUUUGGGGACACGCAAGUUUUCCAUAGCUUUUUUCUUAUUUUUUUCAUGUUUUUUAUUUUAUUAUUUUGGUUUUAGUUGUCAAAAAUUGACUGUACCGCGUGAAAUAAUGCUUGGUGCCCCACUUAACAUUUUCUAUACUAUCUUUUUUAUAUUUCUUCAAGCUUGGUUCUACUCUCCCAGCAUAUCAACCAUUAUCAUACUGAACUUUUUUCUUCUAAUAAUGGCUGCGACAACACGUUCCCUUGCAUACAACUACGAUGUGUUCCUCAGCUUCACAGGCCAAGACACACGCCAGGGUUUCACUGGCUAUCUCUACAAAGCUCUUUGUGACAGGGGAAUCUACACUUUCAUUGAUGAUCAGGAGCUUCCGAGAGGAGACGAAAUAAAACCUGCACUUUCCAACGCAAUUCAAGAGUCCAGGAUUGCUAUUACUGUGCUUUCUCAAAACUAUGCAUCUUCCUCAUUUUGUUUAGAUGAACUAGUAACCAUCCUUCACUGCAAGAGUCAAGGGCUGUUGGUUAUACCGGUCUUUUAUAAGGUAGAUCCUUCUCAUGUCAGACACCAGAAAGGUAGUUAUGGAGAAGCAAUGGCUAAGCAUCAGAAGAGGUUCAAAGCUAACAAGGAGAAGCUGCAGAAAUGGAGGAUGGCUUUGCAUCAAGUAGCUGACUUGUCUGGCUAUCAUUUCAAAGAUGGAAACAGAGAUUCAUAUGAAUACGAGUUUAUUGGGAGUAUUGUUGAGGAGAUCUCUAGGAAGUUUAGUCGUGCUUCUUUACAUGUUGCGGAUUAUCCAGUUGGUCUAGAGUCAGAAGUGACAGAGGUAAUGAAGCUUUUGGAUGUUGGAUCCCAUGAUGUUGUCCAUAUCAUAGGGAUCCAUGGAAUGGGCGGGUUAGGAAAAACAACACUUGCUCUGGCAGUUCAUAAUUUCAUUGCUCUCCAUUUCGAUGAAUCCUGUUUUCUUCAAAAUGUGAGAGAAGAAUCAAAUAAACAUGGGUUAAAACACCUUCAAAGCAUCCUUCUUUCAAAAUUACUUGGGGAGAAGGACAUCACCUUAACAAGUUGGCAAGAAGGAGCUUCAAUGAUACAACAUAGGCUCCAACGAAAGAAGGUUCUCUUGAUUUUAGAUGAUGUUGAUAAGCGCGAGCAAUUAAAGGCUAUUGUUGGAAGACCUGAUUGGUUUGGUCCCGGUAGCAGAGUCAUCAUUACCACUCGGGACAAACAUCUGCUAAAAUAUCAUGAGGUUGAAAGAACCUAUGAGGUGAAGGUUUUAAAUCAGAGUGCUGCUCUUCAAUUGCUUACGUGGAAUGCUUUUAAAAGAGAAAAAAUUGAUCCAAGUUAUGAGGAUGUCUUGAAUCGUGUAGUAACUUAUGCUUCUGGCCUUCCAUUGGCUUUGGAAGUUAUAGGUUCCAACUUGUUUGAAAAAACUGUAGCAGAAUGGGAAUCUGCUAUGGAACAUUAUAAAAGAAUUCCCAGUGAUGAAAUCCAAGAGAUUCUAAAAGUAAGCUUUGAUGCUUUGGGGGAAGAACAAAAGAAUGUUUUUCUUGACAUUGCUUGUUGCUUCAAAGGGUAUGAAUGGACAGAGGUUGAUGAUAUACUCCGUGACCUUUAUGGUAACUGCACGAAGCAUCAUAUUGGGGUGUUGGUUGAAAAAUCUCUCGUAAAGGUUAGCUGCUGUGAUACUGUUGAAAUGCACGACAUGAUCCAGGACAUGGGUAGAGAAAUUGAGCGGCAGAGAUCACCAGAAGAGCCAGGGAAGUGCAAGAGAUUAUUGUUACCAAAAGAUAUCAUUCAAGUUUUAAAAGACAACACGGGGACUAGUAAAAUUGAAAUCAUAUGUCUGGAUUUCUCCAUAUCUGACAAAGAAGAAACAGUGGAAUGGAAUGAAAACGCCUUCAUGAAGAUGAAAAACCUUAAAAUACUUAUUAUUAGAAAUUGCAAAUUUUCCAAAGGUCCCAAUUAUUUUCCAGAAGGUUUAAGAGUACUGGAAUGGCACAGAUAUCCUUCAAAUUGUUUACCAUCUAACUUUGAUCCUAUCAACCUUGUUAUAUGCAAGUUACCUGACAGCUCCAUUACGUCAUUUGAGUUCCAUGGCUCAUCCAAGAAGCUCGGGCAUCUAACAGUUUUAAAUUUUGACCGGUGCGAAUUUUUAACAAAGAUACCUGAUGUAUCUGAUCUCCCAAAUUUGAAGGAACUUUCAUUUAAUUGGUGUGAGAGUUUAGUUGCAGUUGAUGACUCAAUUGGUUUUCUGAAUAAACUUAAAACAUUGAGUGCUUAUGGUUGCAGGAAGCUUACGAGUUUUCCGCCUCUCAACUUGACCUCUCUUGAAACACUUAACCUUGGUGGGUGUUCGAGUCUUGAGUAUUUUCCAGAAAUAUUAGGAGAGAUGAAAAACAUAACGGCACUUGCUUUGCAUGACCUUCACAUGAAAGAAUUGCCAUUUUCAUUUCAAAAUCUUAUUGGACUCCAGUUUUUAUGGCUGAAUAGUUGUGGAAUUGUUCAGUUACGAUGUAGCUUAGCCACGAUGCCCAAACUGUUUGAAUUCUGUAUAACGGAUAGUUGCAACAGGUGGCAAUGGGUAGAAUCGGAAGAAGGUGAAGAAAAAGUAGUGGGCUCAAUACUAUCUUUUGAGGCCACGGACUGCAAUCUAUGUGAUGAUUUUUUUUUUAUAGGUUCCAAGAGGUUUGCUCAUGUAGGAUAUUUAAAUCUACCGGGGAAUAAUUUCACAAUCCUUCCUGAAUUCUUCAAAGAACUGCAAUUUUUAAGAACUCUUGUGGUGCAUGAUUGCAAGCAUCUUCAGGAAAUUAGAGGGCUUCCACCAAACUUAAAGCAUUUCGAUGCAAGAAACUGUGCAUCCUUGACUUCCUCGAGUAAAAGCAUGCUUUUAAAUCAGGAACUGCAUGAGGCUGGAGGAAUCGAGUUUGUAUUUCCAGGAACAAGUAUACCAGAGUGGUUCGAUCAGCAAAGCAGUGGACAUUCAAUUUCUUUCUGGUUUCGUAAUAAAUUUCCAGCCAAACUUCUUUGUCUUCAUAUUGCACCGUCUACUGGGUUUUUUAUCCGGUAUCCAGAGGUGUUCAUCAAUGGAAAAUUUCAAGAAUUUGAGUCCCAUGAGACGGACGAUACAGAAAGUAUGUUGGGAUUGGAUCAUACACAUAUCUUUGAUCUCCAAGCGUAUGCUUUCAAAAAUAAUAAUCUGUUUAAAAAAGUGGCUUGGGAAAAGGAAUGGAACCAUGUGGAGGUUACAUAUCAAAGUGUGUUAGACGAUGAAGAAGAAGAGAGUGAAGAAGGUGUGUUAGACGAUGAAGAAGAAGAGAGUGAAGAAGGUGUGUUAGACGAUGAAGAAGAAGAGAGAGAAGAAGGUGUGUUAGAGUUAGAGAGCUCAGUCAUUAAAGCAAUUGGAAUCCAUAUAGUCAGAGAAGAAGGCAGUAUGGAGGAAGAUAUUCGAUUUGAUGAUCCUUAUCUCAGCAGCUCUGCAUCAGACUACAAACCAUAGCUUUGGGGACACGCAAGUUUUCCAUAGCUUUUUUCUUUUUUUUUUUAUUUUAUUAUUUUGGUUUCCGUUGUCAAAAAUUCACUUAACCCAACUUCUGUUCACCCUAUCUUCAUCAUGUACUUUUGACGCAUUUUUAUAUAUUCAUCUUUUACGACUUUAUGAACUUUCUAUAUAUAACCUUUCAAGUUUUAUCUUUCUAUAUAUUUUUAUUUCAAAAUUACGCUGUGAAAUUGUUUAUAGUGAAGAUGAUGAUGUCUAG